UACGUAGGGGGCAAGCGUUAUCCGGAUUUACUGGGUGUAAAGGGAGCGUAGACGGCAGCGCAAGUCUGGAGUGAAAUGCCGGGGCCCAACCCCGGAACUGCUUUGGAAACUGUGCAGCUCGAGUGCAGGAGAGGUAGGCGGAAUUCCUAGUGUAGCGGUGAAAUGCGUAGAUAUUAGGAGGAACACCAGUGGCGAAGGCGGCCUACUGGACGGUGACUGACGCUGAGGCUCGAAAGCGUGGGGAGCAAACAGG
rnacentral:rRNA from 1 species